AUACGUAGGGGGCGAGCGUUAUCCGGAUUUAUUGGGCGUAAAGCGUGUGUAGGCGGUUUGUUAAGUUUAAGAUUAAAGCCCGAGGCUUAACCUCGGUUCGUCUUAAAAACUGGCAGACUUGAGUGCAGUAGAGGCAAGUGGAAUUUCUAGUGUAGCGGUUAAAUGCGUAGAUAUUAGAAGGAACACCAGUGGCGAAGGCGGCCUGCUGGGCUGUUACUGACGCUGAGACACGAAAGCGUGGGGAGCAAAUAGGAUUAGAUACCCUAGUAGUCCACGCCGUAAACGAUGAGUACUAAGUGUCGGGUAACCGGUGCUGAAGUUAACACAUUAAGUACUCCGCCUGAGUAGUACGGUCGCAAGGCUGAAACUCAAAUGAAUGGACGGGG
rnacentral:rRNA from 1 species